rnacentral:rRNA from 1 species
AGUAAAAGUCGUAACAAGGUUUCCGUAGGUGAACCUGCGGAAGGAUCAUUAUUGAAUACACAAGGUUGUGCUGGUUUACAAGUGCACGCCUUUUCAAUUCCAUACACCUGUGCACCUUUGUAGGUUUUGGGUUUACCCGAAGCCUAUGUUUAUAUACCCCAUUAUGUUUCUGAAUGUUUCUUGUCUUUUGACAAACAAAUUAUACAACUUUAAGCAGCGGAUCUCUUGGCUCUCGCAUCGAUGAAGAACGCAGCGAAAUGCGAUAAGUAAUGUGAAUUGCAGAAUUCAGUGAAUCAUCGAAUCUUUGAACGCACCUUGCGCCCUUUGGUAUUCCGAAGAGCAUGCCUGUUUGAGUGUCAUUAAAUUCUCAAACCAAUAGUUCGCUAUUGGCUUUGGACUCUGAGAGUUGCUGACGAAAGUCGGCUCUCUUUAAAUGUAUUAGCUGGCAUUGAUUGUUAGACUAAUGAUGUGAUAAUUAUCUACAUUAUGGUCGCAGUUGGCUGCUUCUAACCGUCUUCGGACAACUAUGACAAUUUGACCUCAAAUCAGGUAGGACUACCCGCUGAACUUAAGCAUAUCAAUAAGCGGAGGAAAAGAAACUAACAAGGAUUCCCCUAGUAACUGCGAGUGAACCGGGAAAAGCUCAAAUUUAAAAUCUGGCAGUUUAUAAUUGUCCGAGUUGUAAUCUGGAGAAGCGUUUUCCGUGC